CCUACGGGAGGCAGCAGUGGGGAAUAUUGCACAAUGGGGGAAACCCUGAUGCAGCGACGCCGCGUGAGUGAAGAAGUAUUUCGGUAUGUAAAGCUCUAUCAGCAGGGAAGAAAAUGACGGUACCUGUUUAAGAAGCCCCGGCUAACUACGUGCCAGCAGCCGCGGUAAUACGUAGGGGGCAAGCGUUAUCCGGCUUUACUGGGUGUAAAGGGAGCGUAGACGGCAGCACAAGUCUGGAGUGAAAUGCCGGGGCUUAACCCCGGAACUGCUUUGGAAACUGUGCAGCUAGAGUGCAGGAGAGGUAAGUGGAAUUCCUAGUGUAGCGGUGAAAUGCGUAGAUAUUAGGAGGAACACCAGUGGCGAAGGCGGCUUACUGGACUGUAACUGACGUUGAGGCUCGAAAGCGUGGGGAGCAAACAGGAUUAGAUACCCCAGUAGUC
rnacentral:rRNA from 1 species